UGCAGAAUGCCACCUUCCUCCGUGCCAACUUGCUACGGAGGCUUGCGGUGGCAAAGCCAUCCUGCUGGGCUGGCAGCUCCUGCAAGCGUAUGCCUGCCUCUCUCUGACCUGUGCUGGCAUCCUGUUUGAUGUGGCUGACGGUGAUGAGGCUGAAGGGACACGGGGGGUCCAGGGAACAAAUAAAUCUCUCCUCCCCCGAUCAGAUGUCAGGCCUGAACUCCGUUGCAAUCUGCGUUCUCAUGAGCGAUAAACCUUCCGGGUCUGGGGCCACUCCGGCAAGGCUCUGGCCUGCAGAUACAGAGAAGGGAAGGAAAGGAUGGAAGGGAAGGAGACUUCUGCUACGUGAGCACCUACUAUGUGCCACUCACUGUGCUGAACACUUUGCCCACGUUAUCUCAUUGAAUGCUUACUUAUGUCUUAAGGGACAAUGAUCAUCACUUAUAUUUGGAAGAUGUGGAAUUUGAGGUUCAGUAGGGUCAAGAAAUUUGCUCAUGGGUGUGCAAUUUGGAAGUGUAAACCAGUAUAUGCAACCACGGAAGUGUAUGAUCCCAUAUCUCUUAGGGGCUGAAUUAUGUCCUCUCAAAAUUUGUAUGUUGAUGUCCUAACCCCCAGUAUCUCACGGUGUGACAGUAUUUGGAGAUGGGGUCUUUCAGGAGCUAAUUCAGUUAUUACAAGGUCAUUAGAGUGGAUCUUAGUCCAAUUUGACUGGUGUCCUUAUAAGAAGAGGAUAUUUGGACGUCCAGAGAGAGAUGCUGGGAUGCACACAUAUAGAGGAAAGGCCAUAUGGGGACACGGUGAGAAGAUGCCCAUCCGGACCCUAGGAGAGAGGCUUCGGGACACAGCAACGCUGCCAGUACCUUGAUCUUGGACUUCCACCCUCUAGAACCGUGAGGAAGUAAUGUCUGUUGUUUAAGCUCAAACAAGCUCAUACAAUAUCUGAUAUGAAAAAUGUUAUCAACAGUUAUCGUUCCGGGUUCUACUCCUGUUGAUUGGAAAUGACUGGCAAAUGGUUGUGACUCUUGAUCUUGGGAUUGUGAGUUUGAGCCCCAUGUUGGGUGUAGAGAUUAUAAGUAAAGAAACUUAAAAAAAGACCGGCAAAUGGUAUCUAGUCAAUGCUCCAUGUAGCACGCAGAUCUGCAGAGAUCAGGGGCCGACCCAAGGGUGGGGGGAGGCCGGGCAUGUCAAAAUGCCCCUCAUCCCAUCCCACCCCACCCACCCCUGGCUUCAACUACAGCCUCUUACUACAUGAUGACAUGAACCGGGGGAGAAACGUGUCGUAUCAAACAAGUUAUGUUACCGAAGGUGGAAUGUGUUCGUGCAAAGUUGGGAAUAUUUUUAACAUUAAGUUCUGUUGGUUGAAGGACGCCCGGAUGGCUCUGCAGCUGAGCAUCUGCCUUCAGCUCAGGGCGUGAUCCCGGGUCCUGGGAUCGAGUCCCACAUCAGGCUCCCUGCAUGGAGACUGCUUCUCCCUCUGCCUGUGUCUCUGCCUCUCUGUGUCUCUCAUGAAUAAAUAAAGAAAAUCUUUGAAGGGGAAAAAAAGU
rnacentral:lncRNA from 12 species